rnacentral:rRNA from 1 species
UACAGGGGGGCAAGCGUUGUUCGGAAUUACUGGGCGUAAAGGGCCAGUAGGCGGCCAACUAAGUCACACGUGAAAUCCCCAGGCUUAACCUGGGAACUGCGUGUGAUACUGGAUGGCUUGAAUUCGGGAGAGGGAUGCAGAAUUCCAGGUGUAGCGGUGAAAUGCGUAGAUAUCUGGAGGAAUACCGGUGGCGAAGGCGGCAUCCUGGACCGAGAUUGACGCUGAACGGCGAAAGCUAGGGAGCAAACGGG